UCAGGAUGAACGCUAGCUACAGGCUUAACACAUGCAAGUCGAGGGGCAGCAUGGUCUUAGCUUGCUAAGGCCGAUGGCGACCGGCGCACGGGUGAGUAACACGUAUCCAACCUGCCGUCUACUCUUGGACAGCCUUCUGAAAGGAAGAUUAAUACAAGAUGGCAUCAUGAGUCCGCAUGUUCACAUGAUUAAAGGUAUUCCGGUAGACGAUGGGGAUGCGUUCCAUUAGAUAGUAGGCGGGGUAACGGCCCACCUAGUCUUCGAUGGAUAGGGGUUCUGAGAGGAAGGUCCCCCACAUUGGAACUGAGACACGGUCCAAACUCCUACGGGAGGCAGCAGUGAGGAAUAUUGGUCAAUGGGCGAGAGCCUGAACCAGCCAAGUAGCGUGAAGGAUGACUGCCCUAUGGGUUGUAAACUUCUUUUAUAAAGGAAUAAAGUCGGGUAUGGAUACCCGUUUGCAUGUACUUUAUGAAUAAGGAUCGGCUAACUCCGUGCCAGCAGCCGCGGUAAUACGGAGGAUCCGAGCGUUAUCCGGAUUUAUUGGGUUUAAAGGGAGCGUAGAUGGAUGUUUAAGUCAGUUGUGAAAGUUUGCGGCUCAACCGUAAAAUUGCAGUUGAUACUGGAUAUCUUGAGUGCAGUUGAGGCAGGCGGAAUUCGUGGUGUAGCGGUGAAAUGCUUAGAUAUCACGAAGAACUCCGAUUGCGAAGGCAGCCUGCUAAGCUGCAACUGACAUUGAGGCUCGAAAGUGUGGGUAUCAAACAGGAUUAGAUACCCUGGUAGUCCACGCGGUAAACGAUGAAUACUCGCUGUUUGCGAUAUACUGCAAGCGGCCAAGCGAAAGCGUUAAGUAUUCCACCUGGGGAGUACGCCGGCAACGGUGAAACUCAAAGGAAUUGACGGGGGCCCGCACAAGCGGAGGAACAUGUGGUUUAAUUCGAUGAUACGCGAGGAACCUUACCCGGGCUUAAAUUGCAGAUGAAUUACGGUGAAAGCCGUAAGCCGCAAGGCAUCUGUGAAGGUGCUGCAUGGUUGUCGUCAGCUCGUGCCGUGAGGUGUCGGCUUAAGUGCCAUAACGAGCGCAACCCUUGUUGUCAGUUACUAACAGGUUCCGCUGAGGACUCUGACAAGACUGCCAUCGCAAGAUGUGAGGAAGGUGGGGAUGACGUCAAAUCAGCACGGCCCUUACGUCCGGGGCUACACACGUGUUACAAUGGGGGGUACAGAGGGCCGCUACCACGCGAGUGGAUGCCAAUCCCCAAAACCUCUCUCAGUUCGGACUGGAGUCUGCAACCCGACUCCACGAAGCUGGAUUCGCUAGUAAUCGCGCAUCAGCCACGGCGCGGUGAAUACGUUCCCGGGCCUUGUACACACCGCCCGUCAAGCCAUGGGAGCCGGGGGUACCUGAAGUGCGUAACCGCGAGGAGCGCCCUAGGGUA
rnacentral:rRNA from 1 species